rnacentral:rRNA from 1 species
AUUGAACGCUGGCGGCAUGCCUUACACAUGCAAGUCGAACGGUAACGGGCCUUCGGGUGCCGACGAGUGGCGAACGGGUGAGUAAUACAUCGGAACGUGCCCGAUCGUGGGGGAUAACGAGGCGAAAGCUUUGCUAAUACCGCAUACGAUCUACGGAUGAAAGCAGGGGACCGCAAGGCCUUGCGCGGACGGAGCGGCCGGUGGCAGAUUAGGUAGUUGGUGGGAUAAAAGCUUACCAAGCCGACGAUCUGUAGCUGGUCUGAGAGGAUGAUCAGCCACACUGGGACUGAGACACGGCCCAGACUCCUACGGGAGGCAGCAGUGGGGAAUGUUGGACAAUGGGCGCAAGCCUGAUCCAGCCAUGCCGCGUGCAGGAUGAAGGCCUUCGGGUUGUAAACUGCUUUUGUACGGAACGAAAAGCCUUCUUUUAAUACAGGAGGGUCAUGACGGUACCGUAAGAAUAAGCACCGGCUAACUACGUG